AGCGAACGCUGGCGGCAGGCUUAACACAUGCAAGUCGAGCGGGCACUUCGGUGUCAGCGGCAGACGGGUGAGUAACACGUGGGAACGUACCCUUUGGUUCGGAAUAACGCUGGGAAACUAGCGCUAAUACCGGAUACGCCCUUUUGGGGAAAGGCUUGCUGCCGAAGGAUCGGCCCGCGUCUGAUUAGCUAGUUGGUGGGGUAAUGGCCUACCAAGGCGACGAUCAGUAGCUGGUCUGAGAGGAUGAUCAGCCACACUGGGACUGAGACACGGCCCAGACUCCUACGGGAGGCAGCAGUGGGGAAUAUUGGACAGUGGGGGCAGUCCUGAUCCAGCCAGGCCGCGUGAGUGAUGAAGGCCUUAGGGUUGUAAAGCUCUUUUGUCCGGGACGAUAAUGACGUUACCGGAAGAAUAAGCCCCGGCUAACUUCGUG
rnacentral:rRNA from 1 species